rnacentral:tRNA from 1 species
GGAGAGGUGUAGGGAAUGGUUAUCCGGACGGUCUUGAAAACCGUUGCCCGCAAGGGCUUGGGGGUUCGAAUCCCCCCCUCUCCGCCA